GGCCGCCUCGGGAGGCAGCAGUAGGGAAUAUUGCUCAAUGGGGGAAACCCUGAAGCAGCAACGCCGCGUGGAGGAUGAAGGUUUUCGGAUUGUAAACUCCUUUUGUUAGAGAAGAUAAUGACGGUAUCUAACGAAUAAGCACCGGCUAACUCCGUGCCAGCAGCCGCGGUAAUACGGAGGGUGCAAGCGUUACUCGGAAUCACUGGGCGUAAAGAGCGCGUAGGCGGGAUAGCAAGUCAGAUGUGAAAUCCUAAGGCUUAACC
rnacentral:rRNA from 1 species